GAUCUCUCCCCUAUAUAUAUAUAUAUAUAUAUAUAUAUAUAUAUAUAUAGAGAGAGAGAAAGGCUCCCGUAAGAACACUUCUUACGGUGAGAACACUUUCUUACGGUAAGAACACUU